CGCGUAGGCGGGUCAUCAAGUCAGGGGUGAAAUACUUCGGCUCAACCGGAGAAUGGCCUUUGAUACUGGUGACCUCGAGGGGUGUAGGGGCAUGUGGAACUUCCGGUGGAGCGGCGAAAUGCGUAGAUAUCGGAAGGAACGCCGGUGGCGAAAGCGACGUGCUGGACACCUUCUGACGCUGAGGCGCGAAAGCCAGGGGGAGCAAACGGGAUUAGACUACCCCGGUAGUCCUGGCCCCUAAACGAUGGGUACUAGAUUGUAGGCUGACAUGGGCUUACAGUCGGAGCAAAAGUGUUAAGUACCCCGCCUGGGGAUAUGGUCGCAAGGCUGAA
rnacentral:rRNA from 1 species